UACGAAGGGGGCUAGCGUUGUUCGGAGUUACUGGGCGUAAAGGGCGCGUAGGCGGCGCAUCAAGUCAGGCGUGAAAGCCCUGGGCUCAACCCGGGGAAUUGCGCUUGAGACUGGUGUGCUCGAGUACGGGAGAGGAUAGUGGAAUUCCCAGUGUAGAGGUGAAAGUUCGAUAGAUAUUGGGAAGGAACACCAGUGGCGAAGGGCGGGUCACUG
rnacentral:rRNA from 1 species